rnacentral:lncRNA from 1 species
CAGGAGAUGAGUGGCUUUUCGAGGGACCUGGCACGUACAUCCCCCGGAAGGAAGUGGAGGUCGUGGAGAUCAUUCAGGCCACCAUCAUCAGGCAGAACCAGGCUCUGCGGCUCAGGGCCCGCAAGGAGUGCUGGGACCGGGACGGCAAGGAGAGGGUGACAGGUGGGGUCACCAAGGGGCGAUGAUGGUGGGUGGGCAGGAGGGGUCCCCACUGCAGGGGAAGCAGGGGAAGGUUGAGGAAAGCCUCCUGUAGCCCCAGAGAGGCGCUUUCCUGGUAUCUUUUGAAAGCUGUUGAGGGCCACCCACUGCUCUUCCUUCCCCACCCCCGCUUCAUGCUGUUUCCACUUGGGCUGGAAAAUGUGACCAUGACCAUGCGGAUGUGGCUUUUCCUUCCCUCACCUUCACCAUGAGCUGUGGGCAGUGGCCAUGACUUACCUGAUUCUGGAUCAACAAAGAAGAUGUUCAAAUACAAUUGACAAAUGUAGGCCAAUAGGGGAAGAAUGGCUGGUCACCACAGUAGGGGCGUACCUCCCAGCGGUGUUUGAGGAGGUUCUGGAUUUGGUGGACGCCGUCAU